rnacentral:lncRNA from 1 species
UGAAAGGGGAUGGAAAGGGCUGCCUUUGCAGCUGGCCAGAGAAAAAGAGGAAAGAAUAAAAUCAAAGGAAGAAAAGCAUACGGGGAGACAGGAGAGAUAAGAAUCCAAGGAGAGACUUGGAGCGUGCAGAAAGGAGAAAAAAGGAGAGGGGCUGCCCUUUGGGCAGCUCGCAGAGACGCAGGAAGGAGACAGCUGCCUUGCGGGCAGCAGAAAACCGAAGGAGAGAAGUGAAGGUCGGAGGGGUGAGGCAUUAGCCUCGGGAGAGGACUGACGAGAGAGGGAGCUGCCUUUGGCAGCACGGGGUCAGCGAGAAGAAGUCAGAGGGGAGAGAGGCAGCAGCUACUGCGCAGAGCAGAAGCAGAGAUCAGUCAGGACAGCAAGGUCAGGGCGCGAAGAAAGGGAGGUGUGCUGCCCCUUUGGGCAGCUCGCAGAGACGCAGGAAGGAGACAGCUGCCCUUGCAGCUGGAGCAAAACCGAAAGAAGGGUGCGCUGCUCUUGGCAGCACCGAGGGCAGAAGCAGCAAGCACUCUCCUCUCUCUCGGU